AUCCUGUGAAAACCUGGUUGAUGAACUGUGGUCUACUUGGGACGGUGUGAUGGAAUCCUGGGGUCAGGUACCCAGAGGAAAUGGGAAGCUGGGGCAGGCAGACCUAAUCCUCAGCAGAACUGAGCAGAGCCAGCUCAGAAUCCGUGCCCGCCACCUCCUGCAGCCCCUCCCCCGCCACCACUCAGGAAGAGAGAGGACCCACCUGUUUGCUCCAAGGCCUCAAGAACACAAACAGGAAAGCAGAGCUGGAGAAAGUGAGUUAACCAUGACGCCUGCCUCAGUGCUCACCAAGAACUGCCAGGAUAGUUCCAUCACCCCAUCAGUGCUGUGAUCACCUCAGUGGCUGCCUUCUUGCAUCCUAAGUCCUCGAACAUUUCCAGUAAAAAUGUAAGAGGUGAACAGAAGAAAUCACUGCUGGAGUGGGCAGUCUGGUUUUACCAGCCAGUUGCCUACAGACUGCUGAGCGACUCUUCACCCGAAACGAAGCUUGUAAUUAUCCCGAAGCAAACAAUCCAGGAUUUUCCCCACCACCACUCAGUCGGGUUCCAGGCAAGCAAGUCCUUGCCAUAGGGCUGCCAGUUCUGCUCCCUGGGCGAGCAGGGAUUCUGAACACACGCUUUGGUUGCACUUAUUAACCCUGCUUCUCUCUGUUCUUCAGAGAACCUAACAUUUUCAUUACUCUAUUGUCUCUGUGAUCUGCUCCACUGAACAUGGUGACUCAAUUUCUUAGAAGAGCAGGCACAACCCUUUAUAUUAAAGCAAAGGAUAAAACUAUGCCGGUACUUGCCAAUAUCCAAAUUUGAAGGAG
rnacentral:lncRNA from 1 species